rnacentral:rRNA from 1 species
CCUACGGGAGGCAGCAGUAGGGAAUCUUCGGCAAUGGGGGCAACCCUGACCGAGCAACGCCGCGUGAGUGAAGAAGGUUUUCGGAUCGUAAAGCUCUGUUGUAAGAGAAGAACGUGUGUGAGAGUGGAAAGUUCACACAGUGACGGUAUCUUACCAGAAAGGGACGGCUAACUACGUGCCAGCAGCCGCGGUAAU